rnacentral:rRNA from 1 species
AACGAACGCUGGCGGCAGGCUUAACACAUGCAAGUCGAGCGCCCCGCAAGGGGAGCGGCAGACGAGUGAGUAACGCGUGGGAACGUACCCUUUGCUACGGAAUAGCUCCGGGAAACUGGAAUUAAUACCGUAUGUGCCCUUCGGGGGAAAGAUUUAUCGGCAAAGGAUCGGCCCGCGUUGGAUUAGCUAGUUGGUGGGGUAAAGGCCUACCAAGGCGACGAGCCAUAGCUGAUCUGAGAGGAUGAUCAGCCACAUUGGGACUGAGACACGGCCCAAACUCCUACGGGAGGCAGCAGUGGGGAAUAUUGGACAAUGGGCGCAAGCCUGAUCCAGCCAUGCCGCGUGAGUGAUGAAGGCCUUAGGGUUGUAAAGCUCUUUCACCGGUGAAGAUAAUGACGGUAACCGGAGAAGAAGCCCCGGCUAACUUCGUGCCAGCAGCCGCCGUAAGAC